UUGGAGGGCAUUGUCAGAUCUUAUCUGAU
rnacentral:piRNA from 1 species